AAGCAGCUCAAACUCAUUACGAGUUAAACCGAGUGAAACCGAGAGUCGCAGGUGGUCGGGACAGUUUCGUGGCCAUGUGUGAGGGUCAGAGAAACACGGAGACUCCACACUGGAGCUGGUCAAACACUGGUCAUCAAGCUAACUGAAGUAGUUGUCAACAGGAGUCAAUCAUAAAUCGUUAUGUAAGCUUUUAUUUCUAUGCACAACCAAACAAGAAAUACACACAAAACUAUUUAUUUACGUUCUUUAUUCUUUGUAUAUUAUAGUUUCUCCCUCCAUUUUGGCUCUUCUUUCCUCCACCAUCAAUUCUCUCCCUCAUUUUCCUAUUUUUUUUCAUGUAUUUUUACCCUCCUUUUCUCAACUGUUCACUCCUUUACUUCCCUCCUUUCAUCCAUUGUCCCUCUCCUGUUGACCUUUCCGUCUCCUUACCUGCCCUCUUCUCUUCCUUUCCUAUAUUAAUAUUCCUCUUACUCUUGUUUAUCUACUGUCUCUCCUUUUACAGUUUCCUACCUCGUACCAUCUGCUUCCUGUUCUUGUUUUUUACUUCGUCCUCCGUUCUUUCCUCCCUCGUGUCCUGUAUUAAAGUUUUAUUAAAGUCUACAUUUCACCUCUUGUUUUCUUGCCCUCCAUUCUUUCCCUCUUUUCCCGCCGCCUGCUGUUAUGUUUUGAGUCGAUCGUUUAGGUGGGAGCUGCCCCAUGUGGAGGGAGAAAUGGACCGAGCGUUCAAAGCAUCACAGCUCCCUGACCGAGCAUUCUGUCCAUUCAUCAGCCAGCGACGGUCGGGGACGAGAGCUUCAUCAUGUGAAAGAAACAUGGACAUGACAUCCAGACGGCAGGCGCAGAUUACAGCUGAACCUCAGACACUCUCGCUGCUGCUGCUCCUUCUUCUUCAUCUUCAUCUUCAUCUUCCCUUACUACUAUAACAACCUGCUGCUCCAGAUGCAAAAUAAACGCCACAAAUCGGACAAUAAACUAUUCUUACUAAGGUU